rnacentral:rRNA from 1 species
AACGAACGCUGGCGGCAGGUCUUAGGCAUGCAAGUCGAACGGGUGUAGUAAUACACCAGUGGCGAACGAGUGAGUAACGCGUGGGAAUCUGCCCAUCUCUGGGGAAUAACGUUUGGAAACGAACGCUAAUACCGCAUACGCCCGCAAGGGGAAAGAUUUAUCGGAGAUGGAUGAGCCCGCGUUGGAUUAGUUAGUUGGUGGGGUAACGGCCUACCAAGGCGAUGAUCCAUAGCUGGUCUGAGAGGACGAUCAGCCACGCUGGAACUGAGAUACGGUCCAGACUCAUACGGGAGGCAGCAGCUGAGAAUAUUGGGCAAUGGAGGAAACUCUGACCCAGCCAUGCCGCGUGAAUGAAGAAGGCCUUCGGGUUGUAAAGUUCUUUUAGUCGUGACGAUGAUGACGGUAGCGACAGAAAAAGCGCCGGCUAACUUCGUGCCAGCAGCCGCCGUAA